rnacentral:lncRNA from 1 species
AAAUGGAAGAUGAUCCUUUGUCCAAAGAUGAGAAGGGCAUAACGAGAAAUGAUUAUCAAAAAGUUGAAUUAAAGUAUCAGGAAUCUAGCAUAACUUUGGAAGCAACAUCGAUUAAUCCAGAUGAACUGCCCCCUUUACCUACUGCUCCUCCACCUCCUUUGGAUUCUCCACCACUACCGCCACCUCCUCCACCCUUGUCUCCCUCACCCCCAUCGCCGCCUCCCCCACCUCCACCAUCAUCACCAUCACCACCUCCACCCCCACCCCCACCACCCUUGCCAAUAUCUGGACAAACAUCUCUUCCUUCUGUUCCAAUUCUACCAACAGUGUCACCUUCUCCA